rnacentral:rRNA from 1 species
ACACGACUACAUUAGAUACCCCUGUAGUCCUAGCCGCAAACGAUACUCGCUAGGUGUCGGCCACGGUGCGACCGUUGUCGGUGCCGUAGGGAAGCCGUGAAGCGAGCCACCUGGGAAGUACGGCCGCAAGGCUGAAACUUAAAGGAAUUGGCGGGGGGGCACCACAAGAGGUGGAGGCUGCGGUUCAAUUGGACUCAACGCCGGAAAACUCAUCGGGAGCGACAGCAGUAUGAUUGCCAGGUUGAUGACCUUGCUUGACAAGCUG